CCCUUAGAUGUUCUGGGCUGCACGCGCGCUACACUGAUGCACUCAACGAGUUUACACCCUUGCCUGGAAAGGUUGGGUAAUCUUUUGAAAAUGCAUCGUGAUGGGGAUAGAUUAUUGCAAGUAUUAAUCUUCAACGAGGAAUUCCUAGUAAGCACUAGUCAUCAGCUAAUGUUGAUUAUGUCCCUGCCCUUUGUACACACCGCCCGUCGCUACUACUGAUUGGGUGUUCAAGUGAGAUGCUUAGACCCUUGUUGCAUGGUUCAUUAUUGUGCUCCGAAAGGAAAAAGUUUCAAGCUUGAGUGUCUAGAGGAAGUAAAAGUCGUAACA
rnacentral:rRNA from 1 species